UACCUAGACAGAGGACAGACUAGAGCCAGGGAGAGGCUGUAAUUGGUCAAGAAGCAGCUGUUACUCCUCUUAGCCAAGAGAGGGAGAUGUUUGGUAUUUCAUGGCCUGGACCAUGCUCAUGUUUUGUCUUAUUUCGUCAUGUCACAAGAUGGCCUUGUCUGAUGUUGAUGUUCUGUGAAACUGUUCUUUACGGGAAAGUGCAAAGGCCAGCUGACCGUGCCGGCCAGCUCCUGGAUGGCGGGCACUGUUCUCCUCUCUCGGCUAUUUCUAGAUGACACCUCGGAGGAUGAAAGCUUCCCCGUGGGUUGCUGAGAAAGUAGGCCAGAAGCCUGGGGCUGCCAGUGGCCAUACUGCGGUUGUCUGGGGAGAGUCAGCCUGAGGAAGAAGGCAAGAGAAGGAAAGCAGGGCUCAGACAUGGAGUCUGCAAAGCAGAGAGCAAGCAGCCUUCCUGAGGAGAUAUUACUCCAUUUUACAGGCAAGACAACUGGCUGUGGCAUGAUUUAUGAGUCCUUGGAUUACGCAAAGAAAAAUGAACCUCAACAUAGACUUGCAAGACAUGACCUGUAUGAGAAGAAAAAGAUGUCAAGAAAAUAGUGAAAGGAACAUGAGGACAGAAUGAAGAAAGUCGGGGGGACUGCAAAAGCCAGGGUUGGUGUGGGCAAACAGUGAGCUGGAGAUUGGACAACAGAAGUUCAAGAUUCUGUAGUGACUUGAUCUGUGGUGAUGGAGCAGAUUUUUCAUGAGAGAGGUAAUAAACUAAGAACUUUUCUGUGGAAAAAAAGGGUGAUUUUUAAAAAAAGAUUUUAUUUAUUUAUUUGACAGAGACAGAGAUAGCGAGAGCGGGAACACAAACAGGGGGAGUGGGAGAGGGAGAAGCAGGCUUCCCGCCGAGCGGGGAGCCCGAUGCGGGGCUCGAUCCCAGGACCCCGGGAUCAUGACCUGAGCCGAAGACAGACGCCUAACGAC